GGGAAAUACGGANUCUAGGGCUUCGCUUCUCCUCUCCACUCUUUGUGAUCAUACCUUUCGCUUGCUUUGGCGGCUCCUGGCGCCAUCCGACCUACCAAUCCCUGUUUCCAAAGUCUUACGUCUCAUAUAAAUGUUUUUAAACUGAAACUUUCUACUACGGAUCUCUAUGGUUUUGGACUUUAAGAAAAACAUCUCAUAGGCUCUC
rnacentral:rRNA from 1 species